rnacentral:rRNA from 1 species
GGUGAAUGCUGGCGGCGUGCUUAAGACAUGCAAGUCGAACGGGCUCUUCGGAGCCAGUGGCGCACGGGUGAGUAACGCGUAACUGACCUACCCCAAAGUCGCGGAUAACGAUUCGAAAGAAUCGCUAAUACGUGAUGUGCUGUCAGAUCCUGUUCUGCCAGUAAAGAUUUAUUGCUUUGGGAUGGGGUUGCGUUCCAUCAGCUAGUUGGUGGGGUAAAGGCCCACUAAGGCGACGACGGAUCGCCGGCCUGAGAGGGUGGCCGGCCACAGGGGCACUGAGACACGGGUCACACUCCUACGGGAGGCAGCAGUUAGGAAUCUUCCACAAUGGGCGAAAGCCUGAUGGAGCGACGCCGCGUGAGGGAUGAAGGUCUUCGGAUCGUAAACCUCUGAAUCAGGGACGAAAGACGCGAAAGCGGGAUGACGGUACCUGAGUAAUAGCACCGGCUAACUCCGUG